rnacentral:rRNA from 1 species
ACGGAGGAUGCGAGCGUUAUCCGGAUUUAUUGGGCUUAAAGGGCGCGUAGGCGGAUAGAUAAGUCAGUGGUGAAAACCUGCAGCUUAACUGUAGACUUGCCGUUGAUACUGUCAGUCUUGAGUAUGGUCAAGGUAGGCGGAAUGCGUGGUGUAGCGGUGAAAUGCGUAGAUAUUACGCGGAACACCGAUUGCGAAGGCAGCUUACUGGACCGUUACUGACGCUGAGGCGCGAAAGCGUGGGGAUCAAACAG